AUUGAACGCUGGCGGCAUGCUUUACACAUGCAAGUCGAACGGCAGCGCGGGCUUCGGCCUGGCGGCGAGUGGCGAACGGGUGAGUAAUGCAUCGGAACGUGCCCAGUAGUGGGGGAUAGCCCGGCGAAAGCCGGAUUAAUACCGCAUACGACCUGAGGGUGAAAGCGUGGGACCGAAAGGCCUCGCGCUAUUGGAGCGGCCGAUGUCGGAUUAGCUAGUUGGUGGGGUAAAGGCUUACCAAGGCGACGAUCCGUAGCUGGUCUGAGAGGACGACCAGCCACACUGGGACUGAGACACGGCCCAGACUCCUACGGGAGGCAGCAGUGGGGAAUUUUGGACAAUGGGGGCAACCCUGAUCCAGCCAUGCCGCGUGCGGGAAGAAGGCCUUCGGGUUGUAAACCGCUUUUGUUCGGGAAGAAAUCCUCUGGGCUAAUACCCCGGGGGGAUGACGGUACCGGAAGAAUAAGCACCGGCUAACUACGUG
rnacentral:rRNA from 1 species